CAAACAAAACUGGUUCGCUAAGAGCUCCGACAAUGGCUGUCUGCGCAACUCACUCCUCUCUCAUGAUAGCAUACGCCGCAUCCAAGGACCUUACAAUUCCGUCUCUUUUCUCAUCUGCCAACCCAAGACCCAACAAGUUGAGCGUCGCACUCUAUCCCCCUCUUGUUCUCCUUGCGGGGAGAAGAGCUUCGAACCCAUCCUUCCCGGUGGUUGUCUCAGCCGUAGCCGCAGAGGCUGAUGUCGACACGGAGGACGCGGAGCAGAACGAAGCCACCUCCACCACCGCCACAGCCGUCCUCGAUCCGCCAAAGCCUAAGAAAGGAAAAGCAGCUUUGCUUCUCAAGAGAGAUAGAGUAUGCUUUGCUUAUCCAUCCUUUCCUUUACAAUCCCAAGCUCUAAACAUGAUUUUUUUUUCUUUCUAUGACGAUGAUGAUUCUUUUAUGUUUGUUUGUUUGUUACUCUCAUUUGGCAGACAAGGUCUAAGAGGUUUCUGGAAAUCCAAAAGCUAAGGGAAACCAAAAAGGAGUACGACGUCAAGACUGCUAUAUCUUUGCUUAAGCAAACCGCUAACACAAGGUUUGUGGAGUCGGUCGAAGCCCAUUUCCGUCUCAACAUCGAUCCUAAGUACAAUGAUCAGCAGCUGCGAGCAACCGUAUGGUUUUUUUUAUUUUGCUUUACAUAUAUGUAUAGCUUUGUGUUUCGUUGAAAUUUAAAUCUGAACGCAUUGUCUUUGGUAGGUGAGCCUUCCUAAAGGAACAGGGCAAACUGUUAAAGUGGCUGUUCUUGCACAAGGUAACUAAUUGCCCCCCCUCCCCUCCCCUCCCCUCCCCUCCCAAAUGCUAAGUUAGUCGGACAGUUCAUUCCAAGGGACUCUGUAGAAAAUACUUUGUGUGGUUGACCUUCUAUUAUUUUGUUUGGAUGGAUUGGUGUAUUUCUAUAGAGAAAAAUGUGCUGGGAUCAUUCUUUUCCUUUCUUUCUGUUUCUCUAAGUUAUUUCCAUGAUGAAUAAUAUCCAGGUGAGAAGGUCGAUGAAGCAAAAAAUGCAGGGGCAGAUAUUGUGGGCAGUGAUGAUUUGAUCGAACAGAUAAAAGGAGGGUUCAUGGAGUUCGAUAAGUUAAUUGCAUCCCCGGAUAUGAUGGUCAAGGUGUGUUUUUACUCAUUUGUUAAUAACAAAAAUAAACUUGAAUAGCUGUUACGACAUUCAUUCUUGGCAAAGAAUGUGACAUGAGACAAAUGUUGCUCGUCAUCUCUUAUUACUAAACCUUCUUUAACUUGGGCGGUUAGGUUGCUGGCCUGGGAAAGAUUCUUGGUCCACGAGGACUCAUGCCAAAUCCCAAGGCUGGUACCGUCACAGCUAACAUUCCCCAGGUUAGCCUACUACUUACUCAGGCAGGCAAAAUCAUCUUCGGGUAAUCAAUCAUAGUAUAAUGAUGAUAUGCAUAAAUCUAUCUCAGGCUAUAGAAGAGUUCAAGAAGGGAAAAGUAGAAUUCAGAGCAGACAAAACUGGGAUUGUUCACAUUCCGUUUGGGAAAGUGAAUUUCACAGAGGAAGACCUGCUCGUAAACUUCCUUGCAGCAGUGGUAGGCUGAUUCUCCCCCAUUUAAUAACGUUGUUUAUCUCUUGUGCUGCUGAAUAAAAAGAGUGGAACGUAAAUGCAGAAAUCGGUGGAGACAAACAAGCCAAAGGGAGCAAAAGGAGUGUACUGGAAAAGCGCACACAUAUGUUCGUCAAUGGGGCCAUCCAUCAAGUUGAACAUAAGGGAGAUGAUAGACUUCAAGCCAUAAAUAACCAGCUUAGAAAGAGAUAGAUUGCUAUCAUUAUCCCCUUUGUGGAUUAGGUAGUGCUCUCACUUCGCCUUCUCUACACAAACAAAACUGGUUCGCUAAGAGCUCCGACAAUGGCUGUCUGCGCAACUCACUCCUCUCUCAUGAUAGCAUACGCCGCAUCCAAGGACCUUACAAUUCCGUCUCUUUUCUCAUCUGCCAACCCAAGACCCAACAAGUUGAGCGUCGCACUCUAUCCCCCUCUUGUUCUCCUUGCGGGGAGAAGAGCUUCGAACCCAUCCUUCCCGGUGGUUGUCUCAGCCGUAGCCGCAGAGGCUGAUGUCGACACGGAGGACGCGGAGCAGAACGAAGCCACCUCCACCACCGCCACAGCCGUCCUCGAUCCGCCAAAGCCUAAGAAAGGAAAAGCAGCUUUGCUUCUCAAGAGAGAUAGAGUAUGCUUUGCUUAUCCAUCCUUUCCUUUACAAUCCCA
rnacentral:lncRNA from 1 species